GAGAAUCCCCCCACCACUGGUACUGAGGACACGGACCAGACUCCUACGGGAGGCAGCAGUAAGGAAUAUUGGUCAAUGGGGGCAACCCUGAACCAGCCAUGCCGCGUGCAGGACGACUGCCCUAUGGGUUGUAAACUGCUUUUGCCGGGGAAUAAACCCCACUACGUGUAGUGGGCUGAACGUACCCGGAGAAUAAGGAUCGGCUAACUCCGUGCCAGCAGCCGCGGUAAUACGGAGGAUCCGAGCGUUAUCCGGAUUUAUUGGGUUUAAAGGGUGCGUAGGCGGCACUUUAAGUCAGGGGUGAAAGACGGCAGCUCAACUGUCGCAGUGCCCUUGAUACUGAAGUGCUUGAAUGCGGUUGAAGACGGCGGAAUGAGACAAGUAGCGGUGAAAUGCAUAGAUAUGUCUCAGAACACCGAUUGCGAAGGCAGCUGUCUAAGCCGUUAUUGACGCUGAUGCACGAAAGCGUGGGGAUCGAACAGGAUUAGAUACCCUGGUAGUCCACGCCCUAAACGAUGAUAACUCGAUGUUUGCGAUAUACCGUAAGCGUCCAAGCGAAAGCGUUAAGUUAUCCACCUGGGGAGUACGCCCGCAAGGGUGAAACUCAAAGGAAUUGACGGGGGCCCGCACAAGCGGAGGAGCAUGUGGUUUAAUUCGAUGAUACGCGAGGAACCUUACCCGGGCUUGAAAGUUACUGAAGCAUCCAGAGACGGAUGCGUCCUUCGGGACAGGAAACUAGGUGCUGCAUGGCUGUCGUCAGCUCGUGCCGUGAGGUGUUGGGUUAAGUCCCGCAACGAGCGCAACCCCUAUGUCCAGUUGCCAGCACGUAAAGGUGGGGACUCUGGACAGACUGCCUGCGCAAGCAGAGAGGAAGGCGGGGACGACGUCAAGUCAUCAUGGCCCUUACGUCCGGGGCUACACACGUGCUACAAUGGAUGGGUACAGCCGGGCAGCCUACACAGCAAUGUGAUGCCAAUCUCGAAAAGGCCAUUCNCACAGGU
rnacentral:rRNA from 1 species